rnacentral:lncRNA from 1 species
UUGUUGCUCUGAUGAAAUAUAACGGAUGUACUACAAAACAUCAGAAGUUUACCUGGUCUCCUUUGCAACUAGAGUACUCAUGCAGGGUGGUUUAGCUGGGGACUGAGGGGAAGUGGUUCACACAGGGUUGGACUAAAGUCUUUGGUUUCCUUCUUCCUUGUGGUCCAGGUGAGGUAGCAAAGGCCAUUCCUCCUCCAUUGUGCUGUGUUCAAGAAAACUGCAGAGUAAAGAAAGAACAAGGAUCAUCAAUCAGGACUUCUGGGACUUUCAUUUUUAACCAGAGUUGAAAACACAGGGGCUUGGAGACCUUUCUGGUAACCCUUUAAACUGAAGUCAAAGGGUUCAAAAAGAAAAGCUCAACACUGGACAAGUAAAAUUCUUUGACUAAGAUGCAGAAAAUAUUGCUGUAAACCCAACAGUACAAGCUGAGAGUGAUGUCUUCUGGCUUUCAAGUUUUAAAACCUGUAUGCCCUUGAUCCUACUCCUUCCUCCACUAUUCACCUCCUUGGAAAUCUGAGAGACAUUCAUGUCCCAGGAGUGACCAGCUUGAAGAGAGCUGAAACCCAGCCCCGUUGCACAGCUGGCUCCCAAGGAUCUAUCUUGGAGCUGUGCUUUCUAAAACAACUGAAAAGGUAUGCUUUGACUGAGCACAAACAUGUUGCAGGUUGCCG